rnacentral:rRNA from 1 species
AACGAACGCUGGCGGCAGGCUUAACACAUGCAAGUCGAACGCACUCUUCGGAGUGAGUGGCAGACGGGUGAGUAACGCGUGGGAAUCUACCUAGUGGUGGGGGGAAUAACUUCGGGAAAACCGGAGCUAAUACCCAUAAGCCCUUCGGGGGAAAGUUUUAUCGCCAUUAGAUGAGCCCGCGUUAGAUUAGCUAGUUGGUAGGGUAAUGGCCUACCAAGGCGACGAUCUAUAGCUGGUCUGAGAGGAUGAUCAGCCACACUGGGACUGAGACACGGCCCAGACUCCUGCGGGAGGCAGCAGUGGGGAAUAUUGCACAAUGGGCGAAAGCCUGAUGCAGCCAUGCCGCGUGUGUGAUGAAGGCCUUAGGGUUGUAAAACACUUUCAUCGGUGAAGAUAAUGACGGUAGCCGAAGAAGAAGCCCCGGCUAACUCCGUG